UAGAAUAUUAAUCAAGCGGCAGAUCAGAUCAGAUAAUGUGUAAACUGAUAAAAAAGCAGUAUAAAAUAGGUGUGAUGCAAAAUAAUAUAUAUCUAUUAACAAGAACUCGAGCUACCAAGUGACAGUUUUGUAAAGAGCAGUCGACAAUUUUUUAUUGGCAUAUUUCAUCAAAAUAAACAAUGCAGCGUCCAAUUCAGAAUCCCAUGAUGACUUGCGGAGUACCAAGUGUUCCUUACAAUGUUAUGCCCACGCCUCAAGGACAGCGACGUAUCAGUAUGGGCCCUUGUUUUAACCCAGCGCCGUCCACCUUUCAGCCCAACUCUUGCUUCAUGAGUGCGUCGGCUCUGAGGAAGACCUCGUUACCCUCUAUGAUGCCGCCACGAACGAGAUACGAUCCAUGCUUUAGAGAAAUGUAAAAAUGUAUAUGAUUUAUACGAAUCUCGAUCCUUCUGGAAUAUUUAUUGCAAAUGGAAAAGUGUUGAUAAUAGGAUAUCAGUAAAUUUUCUUCUUAUCUGACACUGAUUAUGUUUGAAAAGUGAUGCGUUAUUGAUGAACGAAUAUUUUUUACAAAGGAGAUAAUAGUUUCCUUUAUGGCAUAUUAAUUUUAAUUAAACUUAUUAUUUAUUAAAAUAAACUAAGAUUAUAAUUAA